UUAAGUUCAGCGGGUAUUCCUACCCGAUCCGAGGUCAACUUGAAUUGAUUAAGGUUAACGGCGUGGCCGCCCGUCCAGCUAGCGAGAUUGUACAACGCUUGAGAGAUUGGGGUCGUCCAGCCGGCGAAAUCGGGGCGCGGGGAGGUCCCGCCGCCCAAUACCAAGCCAGGCUUGAUGGGUGUUAAUGACGCUCGAACGGG
rnacentral:misc_RNA from 1 species